GGGUUGGGGGGGGGGGGCGAGCGAGUGAGGUCUCUUCUGCCCAAUGAAUAUGACUACACGGGGACACGGGGACACCGGUCCCGUUGGCUAGGACCGCGCCGCAGCGGACGUAAUAGCCUUAGCCCCAAGCUGCGGUUCCUGUUUUGCGCCUUGGCCAUGCCGAACUCCAGCCUCACCGCCCCGCCUUGCCAGCUGGCUGGCAGACGGGAAAGCCAGGGCUGAGCUAGGCCGGGGAAGCCGGUGGAGGUGUCGGAUUUCCUGUCCCCUCCCCAUGCGGGCCACCCACGCCAUCUGCCCGAGAGAGGGGAGACACUCGUCCGCCCGCAGGCCGGCAGAGCUGGCUUACCUGAUUUCUCGUCGCCCGCCCCCAGAUCUGGCUUCCCCUACUCGGCACCGCCGGUAAAUUACUCAACAAAGAAAUAUAAUCUGGUGCCAGUCCUGGAUUUUCUUCCCACUAAUUCUCCCAGAAAAGUUCAGUGCUUGGAAAAUGGAGACUAUCUCUUAUACCACUUUUUACUAUGGUGCCUAUCAUAGUUCCUAUAGUAGAUGUUUUAAGUGUUUACUGAUUGAAAUGAAUGCUUAUGUGAAUUAUUGGUUCCAGGCCCUCCUGUGUCUGCUUUCCCCCAAGUCCUCAUCACCUUGCUAGCUACAAAGCCCACAGGGAUCUUUUCAUCAAUAACCCAUGGCCAUCUGUCAGACCUCCAUCUGACUUGGAUAUGGGAGAAGGUAGAGUAAAAAGCAUUGGACAUGAUUUUACUUGCCAAAGUAAGGGCCUGAAGAAACAACAGAAAGCAGAAGGAGGGUAAACAUCCAGUGGGAAUCCAGAAGACUACAGAAGAAAAAAGAUUUGUAUAGAGAACUGGUAAAGGAGAAGAGUCAAGGUUGUUAAUCUGAUCAGCCUGCAACUGAGAUUGAAAUUCUUUUCCAAAAUUACACAUCUCUGCUGUGCAUUUCCCGGCUCUCCAUAUACACAUCUCAUCUCAAUUAUUGCCUUGAAUAAAAUAAAUUAAAUAAGAAAUUGUUAUAUAGGAGAUAAUUUCAUUUACUGGAUAAAAACAUUGCUGGCUAGUAAUUAUCCUGAGCAUAAUUUGUUUAGAGCAUAUAGAAAUGUUAAUGUUUUAGAAAUGAAAUACUAGAUAAUUUUAAAUUGUGUAGAUUUAUAAUUCUGCUUUAAGAUCCCACAGAAACUUAUAAAAAUAGUAUUCUCUAUUUACUCCAUCAAAGUUUUCUAAUUGGAAUAAAACAUAAAAACACA